rnacentral:rRNA from 1 species
UACGUAGGGGGCGAGCGUUGUCCGGAGUUACUGGGCGUAAAGCGCGCGUAGGCGGUCUGUUAAGUGCACAAGUGAAAGCUCCGGGCUCAACUCGGAAAUUGCUUUGCAUACUGGCAGGCUGGAGGGACGCAGAGGUCUGUGGAAUUCCUGGUGUAACGGUGAAAUGUGUUGAUAUCAGGAGGAACACCCAUGGCGAAGGCAGCAGACUGGGCGUUUCCUGACGCUGAGGCGCGAAAAGCGUGGGUAGCAAACAGG